CCGGAGGCGGAGCCCAGUCCCGCCCCGAGCUUGCGUCUACCCCUGGUGUAGGCGCUGCUCCCUGCCAGUGGGGAAGCCACAGGAGGAGGAAUUUAAGAAAGAAUACCCGCCGUCUGCCCUCCUCAGCGCCCGGAGCCGCGCCAUGCUAGCCCUCCGAAGCAGCCUGACUAGAGCUGUGGCCGCGCGGACGCCGGCGCCUCAGGUGUGCUCAUCUUUUGCUACAGGCCCCAGACAAUACGAUGGAACAUUCUAUGAGUUUCGUACCUAUUAUCUUAAACCAUCAAAGAUGAAAGAGUUCCUGGAAAAUGUUAAGAAAAACAUUCAUCUUCGGACAGCUCACUCUGAAUUGGUUGGAUACUGGAGUGUAGAAUUUGGAGGCAGAAUGAAUAAAGUGUUUCAUAUUUGGAAGUAUGACAAUUUUGCUCAUCGAACUGAAGUUUGGAAAGCUUUGGCCAAAGAUAAGGAAUGGCAGGAACAAUUUCUCAUUCCAAAUUUGGCUCUUAUUGAUAAACAAGAGAGUGAAAUUACUUAUCUGGUGCCAUGGUGCAAAUUAGAAAAACCUCCAAAAGAAGGAGUCUAUGAACUGGCUACUUUUCAGAUGAAACCUGGUGGGCCAGCUCUGUGGGGUGACCCAUUUAAAAGGGCAGUUCAUACUCAUAUCAAUCAAGGCUACACAAAAUUAGUUGGAGUGUUCCAUGCAGAAUAUGGAAUACUCAACAGAGUUCACGUUCUUUGGUGGAAUGAGAGUGCAGAUAGUCGUGCAGCUGGGAGACAUCGGUCUCACGAGGAUCCCAGAGUUGUGGCAGCUGUUCGGGAAAGUGUUAACUUCCUUGAAUCUCAGCAGAAUAUGCUUCUGAUUCCUGCAUCAUUUUCACCACUAAAAUAGUUUUCUGCUGAAAUACGAAGUAUUUCAUUAACUGCGAAGAGAUGUGUCUGCUAGUGGUGCUUAAAUUCUCCCAAGAGAUUCUCAUUUUUAUUUGAAGGAGGUGACCAGCUAGAACAUUUCCUGGGGCUACCCAGGGGCUGUCUCCUCCACCCAGUCCAGAGCCCUGAUGGAGAUUUAUAAAGCAGCAGCAGAGCGGAGUUCUUACCAACAAAAUUGGAGAGCCAGUAGAUGAUGGGCUUCAUUCUGCUGACGAACUGCAGGUCCUUCACUUUGCUGAUUCUCUCCUGGAUCAGAAACACGACAAAGCUGGCUGGGACGAAGGACACUGCAAAGAUGACCCAGAUGGACAUGAGGAUUUGCACUUGACAUGCUCUCCCUAGGAAGAGAAAAUAAGGAUCUGAGGGGUCAUGGAUGCAAUUGAGGAUUCAGUCAAGGACACACACAUGCAUACAAAUUCACAUGAAUAUCUGAAGCUCAGAAGAAGACAUCUGUUCAAUAAAUAAAAUAAAAUUAUUUUAUUCCAAGUUAAAACAUCAUUGUCAAGUCAAAAAACCUGACAAUUCAAAUGCAAAACUGAUUUCUCUGAGUUCAGAAGAGUCCAGCACUAAAGUGAAACUGUUGAAAGGGGUCUGAGAGACCCAGGUAUUCACUGUUUUUGAUCUUAUAAGAGCAGCAGGUUAUAAAUUCUCAUACGCACGAAGGACUGGUUUGGUCUGAAAACUUAUUAAUGCAAAAACAUUAGUGUGAAACUACUCAAAUAAGUUAAAUUCUUCUGGCUGUAAGUAAACUGGAAAACGGUGUAAAGUGUAUCAAUCUCACAGAAAAAUUCUAGCAAAUUCUUGGUAUAAGCAUGCUCUUAUGCCCAUUACACAGGGUCUUCUAUAAAAUUCCUAGUGACCUGUAUUGAUAUUCUGUAGGAGAUAAGCAGAAACAAUAAUUCCAUGCUCAAUAUACCUGAUCUACACUUUCAAGUAUUAAUUGUAACUCAGUCUUGACUGGCAUAAGAGCACUAAAUGCCAGUGAUGGCUUUGUAUUUAAAAGUUGUAAACAGUAAACUGUUAGGUGAUCAUAUUCACCUGCAAGCUACUCCCAGGGAUCAGCACUCUGGGCCCAUUUUUCUGACAUGUCUUGGGAUGUAUACUGUACCUUGCCCAGCUUUAAAUGUUUCUUCACUUCCUCAAUGACAUCCUUAACAUGACUCAAAGGAAUUGAUGGAGAAUUACUGGCACCCUGGGAAACCCACCAUACCUAAAAGGAUGGCCUGACAAUAAAAUCCAUGUGGAACACAGCAUUACUCGCA